CCUGAGCUGCCUCUCUCACCCUGACCACACCUGCUGCAGGGUGGGGACCCUGGUGUAACCUCAGCUUUACCCCAUCUCCCUCCACUGCUGCCCCUGUGGUACUGCUGCACGUGGUCCCUGGGAUACACCAGAGCUGGCACUUUCAGCCUGGGAUUCCUCAGCUUUUGCAAGAGGGUUUGGCUGCUUUGCUACGUGCAUCAGGAUGGCAAAGGGCUGGAAUCCUCUCCCACUGCUUGCUCCUGCCUGAGCCACUGUCAUCACAACUGUGCCAAACUGUUGCUGAGCCAAGGAAAAGCUUUUCAGCCGUUAGCUCAGUCCCCAGUGACUCCAAACAGCAUAUGCUGAAGCAGUGGAAAAAGAAGAGCCAGCCAACUUCAGCAAAGUUUCCAAAGAAAGCUGUGUCUGUCUGUGCUGCUUCUGGGAUGGAGACACAGCUGGCUGGAGCCGGGGAAGCUGACUCGCACUGGCUGCUUGGCUCUGAGAACUGAAUUCCAUAGGCGUUAAAGCCUCCAAAAUGCCCUAUGGAUUCAGUUCUGCAGCUGGGCAGCAACUGAGCCUCAGGAAGAAAAGGCAACUGUGAGCUCUUCCUACAAGGAAUAUGUAAAUCUUUGCUCCUGCACAGAGCCCAGAUUAGGGGUGGAGGGGAGUAUGGCCACCACAGAAAUAUCUGCUAUCAGAGAGCUACUAGAGGUUUGUGGCACAUCUUCCCCUAAGGGAGAAAAAACCCCAACUAUAGAUUGUUUUCUUCCUUCUGGAAGUGAAAUGGCAUUUUAGAAAAUAAAUACAUUACUACCUCCUGAUGUACUGCAAGCAACUGUGAGCCUCUGCUAAAAAUACACAUUGUCAGAACAACAGCCUGGGUGUGCCCAGCAAUCUCCUGUUCAGAGUCCAGGCAGUAAAACCAAACAAAACUUUGGAGAAGAUAAACAGGACAGGAUGAGUACAGUUAAGGGUUAUGCCCUCUGUGGCCCCAUGGACCUUGGAGAUGACCCCAGCAGUGACACAUAUUUAGAGAAAGUAUUUGUGUAGGCAGCAGGCUCUGUUUUCACCCAUCCAUCACAUACCUCUGGGAGAGUCUGGCUAUGUCCCUUGAGUUUUGGGGACAUUUGCACUAUAGCAUGGUGUCAUGCUGCCACCAGGAACCUAACAGCUGGAGGAAUGGCAUUUAGGAUAAGUUAUUGUGCAAGUCCUUGCAAUUUAUGUAGCUAUUCAAAAUCACUGUAUGGCAAACCCCAUGCUCUUUCUUAUCUUGCCUAGAAGAGCUGGUUUGCACCUCCUCCAAGAUCUCCCCUAAGGCUGCCCCUGCCCAUGGCAGGCAGCAUCCACUUCUGACAGCUCAGCUGUGUCCCACAACAGCUCCAGGAGAUGGGGAAGAAGCUCCUUCCCACACCCCACUGAGGUGCUGAACCACUGUGCAAGGAUCCAAUGCAUGAACUUUGGGAUCACUGCCCAAAGGAGCUGCUGCUGCUCGGACAGGGAGUGCACCACCAAUGCAGGCAUUUAACUGCACAUCCCUAACUAGGCAGGACAGCCUGCUCAGCCAAGGAAGAGAUUAAAAACACCUCAACAAACAAACAACCAACCCAGCAGGAACUGCUGCCUUUUUCCUAUACUAGGUAACCUAAAGCAUACCUGAUUAGAGGCCUUUUCUAAGCCCAUUCAGCAAGUCUCACUGCCACUGUUUACAACACAGCCAAGAAGCACCAGUUUGGUCCAAGGUUUCUAGAGCAGUUUUUCUGGUUCAGCCCUCUUGCAGCUUUGUCUGGCAGAAGAGUUAACAUUUCCAAGAAGCUAAAUGGGGAAGGGGAAAUGCAGACAGUUGCUGAGACAUUUUGGCAAUUGGUUAAACAAAACCUGUUGCACUAAGAAAAUAAAAGAAACUCCACUUGCUUUCACUUUAUAGAAACUCAGAACAACCAAGUUCACACUCACAGUCCCUCCUUUGCUAUGCAGAUGGAUAACAUCCCAUUCCCUCCCAUGUGUCAGUGGGAGACUAGGAAACUACAAAGUGACAGAGAGGGUCCCCUAUUUCUCCUGUAUGCUUAUAAAGUUCCUGCUGGUCCCUACAGAAGCUGGCAGAAAACAAGCUAGGGCAAGGAAGGGUGCUGCCAAGCAGGACAAGGCACCAUGGCUGGACAUGAACCAUAGUUCAUCCAUCCCUAACUUCAGGUGCCAGAUCUGAUUGCAAGCUGUUCACAAAAGAGACUGACGUUAGGUAGUUAAGAAUUGGAAAUAUAAGCAUUUGCAUUUGGGGUUUUUUUAUUGUUUAGUCAUUUAAAAGGUACAGAAGAGUUUGCAAGUAAGUCAGACCCAGCCCCUCAUAGCCCUCCAGCACAGCUCUUCCAGUACAACCACCAAGUUAUGGAAGUGCUGUAAAUCACACAACUCCAGUAACCUCAUUGGAGAGCCAGCACCUCUAACCAGAGCCAAGUCAGACCAGAGCAGGGCCUCAACAGCAGUUUCAACACGGACAUGUGACCAGGAGUACUGAGCACCACACUAUCAAGUGUAAGAGGAUGGGGACACCAGAGUGUAGCAAAGUGCUGCAUACAGGCCUCACGUGGUGACAAAGCAUCAUGACAUGGUCAUAAACAGCAGUGACAAGACAUGCAGACAAUUGUUCUUCAGAGUGUUCAAGACCCCCUGUGUCCUCUGGGGCCUGCGCUGCCCUCAGCCUGAAGGAAAUUCAGCUUUUAUCUCUCCAGGAAGAGAAUCAGCUCAGAGGCCCUUCCCCUGGACAAGGUAGGAAGAGGCCCAUCUUCUUUGAUCAAGGGCUGCAGUUUGGAGAUCCCCUACCAGGCUGUGACCAAUCAACCAAACCAGUGGAAAUUAGAUGCUCAUUUCAAAACCAGGACCAAUGAGCUGACCCAACAGUCAAGUGUCAUGUGGUUUCUUCACAGGAUGGGCAUUGUGCAUCAGUAAGGGUAAAUCUGCCAUAAGAUUGUGGUGGAUGGGGAGCAAUUAAAAUAAAUCAACAAGCAUGGUGGCAUCCAUUGCUUGUGUUACUUGCCAACCACACCAAAACCAGCUGCCAACUGGCUCCCAUGAGGGUACUGGAGCAUCAGUCCAUUGGGUAUCUGACUCCCUCAAUGUCUCAGCUUCUUUUUCUUCUUACGGUUCCGGUCCUCACUGCUGUCAUCUGCCUCACUGGGGGUCACAGCCUGCUGGAUGACUUUUUUCUCGACUGCAUAUUCCUGGUCUUCCAUCUUGGGGUCCCCUUUGACCAAGAACUCUCCUUUCCGAUAGGAUAUGGAAACAUUGGUCCGGGGGUAGGUGCCGUAAACCCUCCGGAGAUCAUCCUUCACAAAUUCUGGGAGGUCUUUCCUAGGCCCAAACACCUUUCCAAGCUUGCCCCACUGAAGCUCCCCUCUCAUUGUGAAGCCUUCUGGCCAUGUAUCUCGAUACUGAUCUGACCUCUGGCAGGCAGCAUAGGGAUGGUAGUUUGCAUAGGGGUUGUAGAGAGGAAUAGGGACCAUGGGAGGGAAGUGCCAGGUGUGGUAUGGAUGGAUGUAGGGAUUGGAGGCACUAUAGAGAUGA